rnacentral:rRNA from 1 species
AGAGUUUGAUCAUGGCUCAGAACGAACGCUGGCGGCGUGCCUAACACAUGCAAGUCGAACGUGAAAGGGCUUCGGCCUGAGUAAAGUGGCGCACGGGUGAGUAACGCGUGGGUAAUCUGCCUCCGGGCGGGGGAUAACGGGUCGAAAGACCCGCUAAUACCGCAUGAGACCACGACCUCGAGGGGUUGUGGGAAAAGAUGGGGAUCUUCGGACCUGUCACCUGGAGAUGAGCCCGCGUACCAUUAGGUAGUUGGUGGGGUAAUGGCCCACCAAGCCGAAGAUGGUUAGCUGGUCUGAGAGGAUGAUCAGCCACACUGGAACUGAGACACGGUCCAGACUCCUACGGGAGGCAGCAGUGGGGAAUAUUGCGCAAUGGGGGAAACCCUGACGCAGCAACGCCGCGUGUGUGAUGAAGGCCUUCGGGUCGUAAAGCACUGUGAGGUGGAACGAGCCGCCGGGGGUUAAUACCCCUCGGCCCGACGGUACCACCAGAGGAAGCACCGGCUAACCCUGUGCCAGCAGCCGCGGUAAUACAGGGGGUGCAAGCGUUGUUCGGAAUUAUUGGGCGUAAAGCGCGUGUAGGCGGGCCACUAAGUCUGGUGUGAAAUCCCUCGGCUUAACCGAGGACGUGCAUUGGAUACUGGUGGCCUUGAGUCCUGGAGAGGGUAGCGGAAUUCCCAGUGUAGAGGUGAAAUUCGUAGAUAUUGGGAGGAACACCGGUGGCGAAGGC